rnacentral:rRNA from 1 species
GAGUUUGAACCUGGCUCAGGAUGAACGCUGGCGGCGUGCUUAACACAUGCAAGUCGAACGAAGCAGGAGGGUGCUUGCACCUUCCUGCUGAGUGGCGGACGGGUGAGUAACACGUGGAUAAUCUGCCCUGCACAGGGGGACAACAGCUAGAAAUGGCUGCUAAUACCGCAUAAGCCUACAGCCUCGCAUGAGGGAGCAGGAAAAGAAAUUCGGUGCAGGAUGAGUCCGCGUCUGAUUAGCUAGUUGGAGGGGUAAGAGCCCACCAAGGCAACGAUCAGUAGCCGGCCUGAGAGGGCGACCGGCCACAUUGGGACUGAGACACGGCCCAAACUCCUACGGGAGGCAGCAGUGGGGAAUAUUGCACAAUGGGGGGAACCCUGAUGCAGCGACGCCGCGUGAGCGAGGAAGUAUUUCGGUAUGUAAAGCUCUAUCAGCAGGGACGAAAAAAGACGGUACCUGACUAAGAAGCCCCGGC